rnacentral:rRNA from 1 species
GCACUAGUGAUUAGGGAGCACCGGCUAACUCCGUGCCAGCAGCCGCGGUAAUACGGAGGGUGCAAGCGUUGUUCGGAUUUAUUGGGCGUAAAGCGCGUGUAGGCGGUUUCUUAAGUCUGAUGUGAAAGCCCUGGGCUCAACCCAGGAAGUGCAUUGGAUACUGGGAGACUUGAAUACGGGAGAGGGUAGUGGAAUUCCUAGUGUAGGAGUGAAAUCCGUAGAUAUUAGGAGGAACACCGGUGGCGAAGGCGGCUACCUGGACCGAUAUUGACGCUGAGACGCGAAAGCGUGGGGAGCAAACAGGAUUAGAUACCCUGGUAGUCCACGCCGUAAACGAUGAGAACUAGGUGUCGCGGGUAAAUCCCGCGGCC